UACUUCCUCACAUGGUAGACAUGGACUAAACCUGUGAACCUACUCUCUAGAUAUCCUUGCCUGGAGUUGCUGCUAUAUUAAGGAUAUGAGCUGAAAUGGAUUCGAGCCUGGCAUGCAGAUGCCAUCACUUGAGGAAGUGUGAUUAAAUUUAUGUUUGACUGUGAGAACCAAACAAGCCAGCUU